UACGAAGGGGGCUAGCGUUGCUCGGAAUCACUGGGCGUAAAGCGCACGUAGGCGGAUCUUUAAGUCAGAGGUGAAAUCCCAAGGCUCAACCUUGGAACUGCCUUUGAUACUGGGGAUCUCGAGUCCGGAAGAGGCGAGUGGAACUGCGAGUGUAGAGGUGAAAUUCGUAGAUAUUCGCAAGAACACCAGUGGCGAAGGCGGCUCACUGGUCCGGUACUGACGCUGAGGUGCGAAAGCGUGGGGAGCAAACAGG
rnacentral:rRNA from 1 species